rnacentral:rRNA from 1 species
GAUGAACGCUGGCGGCGUGCCUAAUACAUGCAAGUCGAGCGAACAGAUGAGGAGCUUGCUCCUCUGACGUUAGCGGCGGACUGGUGAGUAACACGUGGAUAACCUACCUAUAAGACUGGGAUAACUUCGGGAAACCGGAGCUAAUACCGGAUAAUAUAUUGAACCGCAUGGUUCAAUAGUGAAAGACGGUUUUGCUGUCACUUAUAGAUGGAUCCGCGCCGCAUUAGCUAGUUGGUAAGGUAACGGCUUACCAAGGCAACGAUGCGUAGCCGACCUGAGAGGGUGAUCGGCCACACUGGAACUGAGACACGGUCCAGACUCCUACGGGAGGCAGCAGUAGGGAAUCUUCCGCAAUGGGCGAAAGCCUGACGGAGCAACGCCGCGUGAGUGAUGAAGGUCUUCGGAUCGUAAAACUCUGUUAUUAGGGAAGAACAAAUGUGUAAGUAACUAUGCACGUCUUGACGGUACCUAAUCAGAAAGCCACGGCGAACUACGU